CUCCCUCGUGGUUCCCAUAAUUCCCAGCAUCUACACAUCAUAGAGUAGUGAUUACUCUAUGAUGUGUAGAUGCUGGGAAUUAUGGGAACUGCGAGGGAG